UGGGUCCGUGGUCUAGUGGUUAUGACGCUUCCCUUACAAGGAAGAGGUCGGUGGUUCAAAUCCGCCCGGACCCAUCC
rnacentral:tRNA from 1 species